ACUCAAAUGAAUAGACGGGGGCCCGCACAAGCAGCGGAGCGUGUGGUUUAAUUCGAAGCAACGCGAAGAACCUUACCAAGGCUUGACAUCCCUCGCAAUCUGCGGAAACGUAGAGUUCCCUUCGGGGACGAGGAGACAGGUGGUGCACGGUUGUCGUCAGCUCGUGUCGUGAGAUGUUGGGUUAAGUCCCGCAACGAGCGCAACCCUUGUUCUUAGUUGCCAGCAUUAAGUUGGGCACUCUAAGGAGACUGCCGGUGAUAAACCGGAGGAAGGUGGGGAUGACGUCAAAUCAUCAUGCCCCUUAUGUCUUGGGCUACACACGCGCUACAAUGGUCUGUACAAAGGGAAGCGAAGUCGCGAGGCAGAGCGGAUCCCAUAAAACAGAUCUCAGUUCAGAUUGCAGGCUGAAACUCGCCUGCAUGAAGUCGGAGUUGCUAGUAAUCGCGGAUCAGAACGCCGCGGUGAAUGCGUUCCCGGGCCUUGUACACACCGCCCGU
rnacentral:rRNA from 1 species